GGUGCUUGAUUGGAACUCACAAGGAAAGCGAAGGCGUGGCCGUCCCAAACAAACCUGGCGCCGUACAGUAGCGGACGAGGUAAAGAGAGCUGGUAGGACUUGGAGCGAGGUGAAGCACGAGGCGCAAGACCGAACGGGAUGGAGGCUCGCUGUGGACGCCCUCUGCCCCACCUAGGGGUUAUAGGACAUAAAGAAAGAAGAAGACGAUCACUGGACCAUGAUAGCGGGUAUGCAGAAAAGCGGCCUUCUCUACGCUGGACGACAACAGAUCAAAAUCCUAAGAGCAGUUGGAAAAGCAGCAUGGUACAACGAAGACCAACAACGAAGUUCACGAACACCUAAAAAUGAAAACUAUCAAAGAGGAAAUCCGGAGACUGGCAGUUUUUUGCUAAGUUUUGCCUGAAAAAAUGCAGAUCACAUGAAAGAAGACUUACCGGUAAAGGCCUGAUAGGUGUGCUGAAACCGGACCGCCUCCCAAAUGGCUCUGCGC